AGAGUUUGAUCCUGGCUCAGAACGAACGCUGGCGGCGUGGCUAAGACAUGCAAGUCGAACGGACUGGUCAAUUUAUUGAACAGUUAGUGGCGAAAGGGUUAGUAACGGAUGGGUAACGUACCCUGUGCUUUGGGAUAGCGUCAGUUGCUUCGGCAACUUUCCGAAAGGGGCGGUAAUACCAGAUAAUAUCAUUUGUCGAUAGGCAGAUGAUCAAAGAUUUAUCGGCACGGGAGCGGCCUGUCUCCUAUCAGCUAGUUGGUGAGGUAACGGCUCACCAAGGCAACGACGGGUAGCGGGACUGAGAGGUUGGCCCGCAACAUCGGGACUGAGACACUGCCCGGACCUCCACGGAGGGCUGCAGUAACGGAUAUUGUGCAAUGGGCGAAAGCCUGACACAGCGACGCCGCGUGUAGGAGGAAGUCUCUCGGGAUGUAAACUACUGUCAGGGGGAAGAAAGUGCGCUUCGGCGUAUUGAUCUAACCCAGAGGAAGUCACGGCUAACUUCGUGCCAGCAGCCGCGGUAAGACGAAGGUGGCGAGCGUUGUUCGGUAUUACUGGGCUUAAAGCGUGUGUAGGCGGAAAAGUAAGCGUUUUGUGAAAGCCCCCGGCUUAACCGGGGAAUUGCGUGACGAACUGCUUUUCUUGAGGCAAGUAGGGGUGCAUGGAACUCUUGGUGGAGCGGUGGAAUGCGUAGAUAUCAAGAGGAACGCCAGUGGAGAAAUCGGUGCACUGGGCUUGUUCUGACGCUGAGACACGAAAGCGUGGGGAGCGAACGGGAUUAGAUACCCCGGUAGUCCACGCCGUAAACGAUGCCUACUAGGUUGUGGUGGUUCUGACACCAGCACAGCCGAAGCAAAAGUGCUAAGUAGGCCGCCUGGGGAGUACGGUCGCAAGGCUAAAACUCAAAGGAAUUGACGG
rnacentral:rRNA from 1 species